rnacentral:rRNA from 1 species
AUUGAACGCUGGCGGCAAGCUUAACACAUGCAAGUCGUGCGGCAACAGGAAAUAAUAUUAAUUAUUAUUUUGUCUGGCAAGCGGCGAACGGGUGAGUAAUAUCUGGGGAUCUACCCGGUGGAGGGGGAUAACUAUUGGAAACGAUAGCUAAUACCGCAUAAUAUCGUUUUUUACGAUCAAAGUGGGGGACCUAAUAAAAGGCCUCGCACCUUCGGAUGAACCCAGACGGGAUUAGCUAGUAGGUAUGGUAAUGGCUUACCUAGGCUACGAUCCCUAGCUGGUUUGAGAGGAUGACCAGCCACACUGGAAUUGAGAUACGGUCCAGACUCCUACGGGAGGCAGCAGUGGGGAAUAUUGCACAAUGAGGGAAACCUUGAUGCAGCUAUGCCGCGUGUGUGAAGAAGGCCUUUGGGUUGUAAAGCACUUUUAAUAAGGAGGAAAACAAUAAUGAUAAUACUAUUAUCGCGUGACAUUACUUAUAGAAAAAGCACCGGCUAACUCCGUGCCAGCAGCCGCGGUAAUACGGAGGGUACUAGCGUUAAUCGGAAUUACUGGGCGUAAAGAGUACGUAGGCGGUUUUCUAAGUCAGAUGUGAAAGCCCUAGGCUUAACCUAGGAAUUGCAUUUGAAACUGGUAAGCUAGAGUCUCACAGAGGGGGGUAGAAUUCCAGGUGUAGCGGUGAAAUGCGUAGAUACCUGGAGGAAUACCAGUGGCGAAGACAGCCCCCUGGGUGAAGACUGACGCUGAGGUACGAAAGCGUGGGGAGCGAACAGGAUUAGAUACCCUGGUAGUCCAGGCUGUAAACGAUGUCGAUUUGAAUGUUGUGGUCUAUGAAUUAUGGCUCUCGGAGCUAACGUGUUAAAUCGACCGCCUGGGGAGUACGGCCGCAAGGUUAAAACUCAAAUGAAUUGACGGGGGCCCGCACAAGCGGUGGAGCAUGUGGUUUAAUUCGAUGCAACGCGAAGAACCUUACCUACCCUUGACAUCCAAAGAACUGUAUAGAGAUAUUACAGGUGCCUUCGGGAACUUUGAGACAGGUGCUGCAUGGCUGUCGUCAGCUCGUGUUGUGAAAUGUUGGGUUAAGUCCCGCAACGAGCGCAACCCUUAUCCUUUGUUGCCAGCGAAUUAUGUCGGGGACUCAAAGGAGACUGCCGGUGAUAAACCGGAGGAAGGUGGGGAUGACGUCAAGUCAUCAUGGCCCUUACGGGUAGGGCUACAAACGUGCUACAAUGGCGCAUACAAAGGGAAGCAAACUUGUGAAAGUGAGCAAAUCUCAAAAAAUUCGUCGUAGUCCGGAUUGGAGUCUGCAACUCGACUCCAUGAAGUCGGAAUCGCUAGUAAUCGUGAAUCAGAAUGUCACGGUGAAUACGUUCCCGGGCCUUGUACACACCGCCCGUCACACCAUGGGAGUGGGUUGUAAAAGAAGUGAGUAGCUUAACCUUGAGUUUUUGAGGAGAGCGCUUACCACUUUGUGAUUCAUGACUGGGGUGAAGUCGUAACAAGGUACCCGU